rfam:Oryza meridionalis cultivar OR44 (W2112) chromosome 3, whole genome shotgun sequence.
AAUAAGCGUAGUUUUACACUGCUUAUGUCCAACAUUUGACCGUUCGUCUUAUUUGAUAAAUGUUUUUACGAUUAGUAUUUUAAUUGUUAUUAUAUGAUAAAACAUGAAUAGUAAUAUAUGCGUGACUAAUUUCUUUUAUUUUUUUAUAAAUUUUUUAAAUAAGACGGACGAUCAAACGUUGGACAUAAGAUAUCUACAGCUGUACUUAUU